rnacentral:rRNA from 1 species
UACGUAGGGGGCGAGCGUUAUCCGGAUUUACUGGGCGUAAAGCGCGUUCAGGCGGUCGGCAAAGUUGGUUGUGAAAUCUCAGGGCUCAACCCUGAAAUUGCGACCAAUACUGGUCGACUAGAGUGUGAGAGAGGAAGGUGGAAUUCCCGGUGUAGUAGUGAAAUGCGUAGAUAUCGGGAGGAACACCUGUGGCGAAAGCGGCUCACUGGACCACAACUGACGCUGAGGCGCGAAAGCUAGGGGAGCAAACAGG